rnacentral:rRNA from 1 species
CAAUAGCGUAUAUUUAAGUUGCUGCAGUUAAAAAGCUCGUAGUUGGAUUUCGGGUGGGAAUGGCCGGUCCGCCGUUUCGGUGUGCACUUGCUACGCCCACCUUGGUGCCGGGGACGUGCUCUUGAGUUCACGCUCGGGACACGGAGUCGGCGAGGUUACUUUGAGUAAAUUAGAGUGUUCAAAGCAGGCCUACGCUCUGAAUACAUUAGCAUGGAAUAACACGAUAGGACUCUGGCCUAUCUUGUUGGUCUGUAGGACCGGAGUAAUGAUUAAGAGGGACAGUCGGGGGCAUUCGUAUUUCAUUGUCAGAGGUGAAAUUCUUGGAUUUAUGAAAGACGAACUACUGCGAAAGCAUUUGCCAAGGAUGUUUUCAUUAA